GAUCCUUCAUCUAUGGUGGAUGCCUCUUCAGUCUUCUCAUCUGAGUAACUCGAUCUUAAUGACUAUCCGCAGUUCUUCAGACGAGGAAACGUCAUCCUGUAACGCUUCCAGAAGACUCCUAUCCUAUAUAUAGAUUUCCACGGAUGUGCCCAUGUUGAGAAAAGGAUUACUAAUUUUCUGUUUCAGAGAAGAGUUUAAGCAUCGUCGGAUGAAGGGCGAGUCAUUGAUGUUAACUAAACUUGAGGCUUAUGAUAGAAAUUCGUCGACUAAAAAGCUCAUCAAAUAAAUCCAGGCUGAUAACCUCCUUUUACUCAGAAAGAUAAGGGUUUGUAUGGAGUUCCGACGGUGGAAGUGAGGUUCAGUGACCUUUUUCUUUAAGCGGAAUGUGAAGCAGUUCAUGCUCGGUCCUCCUGGUUGUGCGAAGACCACUCUGUUACAUGCACUUUUUAAAAAGUUAAAAAGUGUAUCAGAGGCGACAAGUGUUGUCUUCACUUUAAAGGUUGGAGGAGAAGUUACAAUGGUUUCUUACUUUCAGAGUUUACAAGAGAAAAUGUCAGAGUUAAUAUAAGUCAAAACGAUAUGCAUAUUCCAGAAGAGUGUGAGAGUGAUUGGAAGUUGUACGGGUGUGAUGACAAAACUUC